ensembl:lncRNA
CCCCCAGGGUCAUCCAGGUGACUCCACACCGGGAUUUCUCCCCUUCACCUAUGCUUCCUCGUAAGCCUCAUAGGACCCUUGUAACUGCAGAGGUGUUUAUUCCCCUCCCAGGUAGGGGAGACUGAGGGCCUGAGAAGAGAAGAGCCUGCCAGAUCUCUCACGAUCCCAGCUUGCCGCUGUAAAGAUAAUUCCUGCUCCAAGCGGAAGACAGAGGCUUCUUGUUUGUUUUCCUAACAGUAGUAGAGGCUGCUAUGCUGUGAGGAAGCCCAAGUCACCCCCCAGAGAAGCCCACAUGGAGAGGAACCGAGGCCCCCAGCCUACAGUUUUCAGACCAUAGCCAGCACUAGCUUGCCAGUUGGAUGGGUGAGCCAUCUUGGAGAUGGCUCCUCGCGCCCCCGGAGCAAAGAUGAGCCCCGCCUACCUUCAGAUCAUAAAGGAAAUAGACCACGAUUGCUAUUAGCUGGUUUUCCUGCACUGCAAUUGAUAAUCAGGACACUUGCCAUUGGCCGGAAGACUAUCACACGGGGACCUCUGACUGCAAAAGAGACUGAGAAAUGAGCGGGCACAUAGAGAGAACACGCAGGGUUUUCUUGGCGUAGAAGGGAAUGGAGUGUAGGCAGCUGACUUUGCUAAACAGGCAUCAGUAACAUUUUAUCAACUUCAUGGUUGACGUGCCCGUCACCUCUAUCACUUGUCUUCACUUAAAAAAUGUGUUUACCCCAGAAAGCAUGCUUUCCACAUGCAAAGAGCAGGCACUCCAUCUGUGUUUAUAAAUUAUGCAUGUAUAAUAACUAAAUAUGUAAUUAAUGUUAAAAUCUUACAGAAAAGACAAAUUUUGAAAUGGAUUUUUAAAGUGAUUAAAC